rnacentral:misc_RNA from 1 species
AUAAUAAUAAUAAUAAUAGAAUUCAUAAAUAAUAGAAAUAGUACUAAUAUUUCCAAAAUAACAGAAAUAAAAUCUCCUAAUUUUACAAUGAAAAUUAAAUCAACAAUUCCAAAAUAAAAUUUGAAUCUUUCUAUACUGUAUUAUUCUCUCCUGAUUGGAGAAAACUUGACCUCAAGUCUUGUAGCGAGAAAGAAUCAAAAACUAUAUUCGAGGAACACACCAUCUUAUUGUCUUGGACGACAGCAGAAAGGUUGAAACGAAGAACUUCAUGCUUUCCUUUGCAUUAAGAAUAUCUGAACAUGGAAAAUCAAUCACAAUUAAAGUUGAACGGCUCUUCAAAUCACUAGAAACAAGAUAAUUUGAAAAUUUUUCAAUUUUUGUUGUCAUCUCCAUGACUUAAUUUCCUCAGUUUCUACACUACUUUCCUCAACCUUUUCUUACUCAGCUUCAUCAACUUCUUUUUCUACAACAAGUUCUUCAGCAUGCAUUUCUAGAAUAUAUUCUUCAACUUAUGAAGACUCGACAAAAGCUUUAGAUUCUUCAAGCUCAGAUUCUAGUUGCUUUUCAACUUCAGGUUCUUCAAGUUGUUCUUCUUGUUCAUCAGAUUCAAAUUGAGCUUUUAUAUUUUCAAGAUUUCUUGUUAUUGCAUCCAUCUUUGCUUGUAGUGGAAACAAA